CUAACAAUAUUUAUGAAAACUUUCUGAGAAUUAUGAAUAUUUCUUCUCUGUCAGAUAUGGAUCAUUACCAAUGAUAAAAUGAAAUGCCGUACAUCACAUCUUAUAGAGGUUUAAAUUUCAAAUAUUCGUCAAUAACUUAAGAUAUAGAGCAAUUUUGUCUUCAACAUUUCAAAUGUUAAAGGGUACAUUUGUAUUUUUUACUUCGAUU
rnacentral:lncRNA from 1 species